AGAGUUUGAUCCUGGCUCAGAUUGAACGCUGGCGGCAUGCCUUACACAUGCAAGUCGAACGGUAACGCGGGGGCAACCUGGCGACGAGUGGCGAACGGGUGAGUAAUAUAUCGGAACGUGCCCAGUAGUGGGGGAUAGCCCGGCGAAAGCCGGAUUAAUACCGCAUACGACCUACGGGUGAAAGCGGGGGAUCGCAAGACCUCGCGCUAUUGGAGCGGCCGAUAUCAGAUUAGGUAGUUGGUGGGGUAAAAGCCUACCAAGCCAACGAUCUGUAGCUGGUCUGAGAGGACGACCAGCCACACUGGGACUGAGACACGGCCCAGACUCCUACGGGAGGCAGCAGUGGGGAAUUUUGGACAAUGGGCGAAAGCCUGAUCCAGCAAUGCCGCGUGAGUGAUGAAGGCCUUAGGGUUGUAAAGCUCUUUUACCCGGGAUGAUAAUGACAGUACCGGGAGAAUAAGCUCCGGCUAACUCCGUG
rnacentral:rRNA from 1 species